rnacentral:tRNA from 1 species
AAAGGGAGACCUAAUUCAGGUAAAAGACGAAAAAAAAGUAGUCGCUACCAAGAAUCAAUCCCAAAAGGUCGGAGCGAGGCGAAAUUGGCUUUCAAACUAGGUUCUGGGUUCAAACAAGACCUGAAUCAGGAACAAGGGCUAUUAGCUCAGGUGGUUAGAGCGCACCCCUGAUAAGGGUGAGGUCCCUGGUUCGAGUCCAGGAUGGCCCACCUGCACAGGUGGCAAAAACAAGAGAAGCGAGGAAUCAGCACCUUAUCUUACUUAUAUAGUAAGAGAGAAUGCUGGCUCUGAGUAAAGAAUCCAGAGGAACCUUGAAAACUGCAUAGAGCUAGGUGAAAAAGCCAAAAAAGAAGACCGCAAG